rnacentral:rRNA from 1 species
ACUCCUACGGGAGGCAGCAGUGGGGAAUAUUGCACAAUGGGGAAACCCUGAUGCAGCCAUGCCGCGUGUGUGAAGAAGGCCUCGGUUGUAAGCACUUCAGUAGGAGGAAGGUAGUGUAGUUAACACCUGCAUUAUUUGACGUUACCUACAGAAGAAGCACCGGCUAACUCCGUGCCAGCAGCCGCGGUAAUACGGAGGGUGCGAGCGUUAAUCGGAAUUACUGGGCGUAAAGCGCAUGCAGGCGGCCUGUUAAGUCAGAUGUGAAAGCCCGGGGGCUUAACCUCGGAAUUGCAUUUGAAACUGGCAGGCUAGAGUCUUGUAGAGGGGGUUAGAAUUUCAGGUGUAGCGGUGAAAUGCGUAGAGAUCUGAAGGAAUACCAGUGGCGAAGGCGGCCCCCUGGACAAAGACUGACGCUCAGAUGCGAAAGCGUGGGGAGCAAACAGGAUUAGAUACCCUGGUAGGAUAGCG